UUGAAGGCUGAAAUUCGCCUUCAUGAAGCUGGAAUUGCUAGUAAUGGCAGGUCAGCAUACUGCCGUGAAUACGUUCCCGGGCCUUGUACACACCGCCCGUCACACCAUGGGAGUUGGAAAUACCCGAAGCCUGUGAGCUAACAGUAAUGAGGCAGCAGUCGAAGGUAGAGCCAAUGAUUGGGGUGAAGUCGUAACAAGGUACC
rnacentral:rRNA from 1 species